AAGACCCUGUGCUUUUGGAGCGGCCGAUGCCUGAUUAGCUAGUUGGUGGGGUAAAGGCCUACCAAGGCUUCGAUCAGUAGUUGGUCUGAGAGGACGACCAGCCACACUGGGACUGAGACACGGCCCAGACUCCUACGGGAGGCAGCAGUGGGGAAUUUUGGACAAUGGGGGCAACCCUGAUCCAGCCAUGCCGCGUGAGUGAAGAAGGCCUUCGGGUUGUAAAGCUCUUUCAGUCGGGAAGAAAAGGUUACGACUAAUACUCGUAAUUUAUGACGGUACCGACAGAAGAAGCACCGGCUAACUACGUGCCAGCAGCCGCGGUAAUACGUAGGGUGCGAGCGUUAAUCGGAAUUACUGGGCGUAAAGGGUGCGCAGGCGGUCUUGUAAGUCAGAUGUGAAAUCCCCGGGCUUAACCUGGGAACU
rnacentral:rRNA from 1 species